rnacentral:ncRNA from 1 species
AGGUGAUUGACAAAGUGUCAGCGGCUGGGAGAACAGGCAGAUCGUAAAGACGCCGUAUUCCCUUUGUAAAAAUAAACAUCCCUGAUGGCUUGAGCCGUGCCAUCCUUGGCGCGGACGCUUU